GUCUGUGGAAAGCUUGAGACUGAGUGGAUUUGGUGUGUUCCAAACAGUGGUAGAAGGUGGAGUUGGAGAGGAAGGGAUAGAACCCAGGCUCCUGGCAGUGGAAGUGUGGAAUCCUAACCACUGGACCAUUGAAUUCCCAAUGCCUACAUUUCUGACUUGAGCAUCUUGGUGAAGGAUGGUGUCAUGCCCUGAGAUGGAGAACGCUGGGAGAGGAGCAGAAUUAGGACGAGAGGUACUACGAAAUUUUAUUACUGGCUUAUGAACUCCAAACAUCUAGAUAGCACUGCUGUGGAUCCUCCAGCAUGUCCUCAGAUCGCCGAGAGGGUGAGAAGCCCAUGCCGAGUGACUAAUGCGAGCCGGAGCACGAGGCUUAGAGGACCAUGGAGAGAGAGGCCCCCGUGACUCAGAGUCAGUUCACAGGCUGCAAGAAGCAUAGAAACUGAAAGGAAGGUGCAGCAUGAAGAAAACGAAGAAGAAAUCAGAGAGAAUAAGUGAGCUGCCCGAGGUCAACAUCAGAGCUGAGCUGGAAAGGUACUGGGGAUGGGGUGCAAAGGACCCAGGAGCUGGGGAAGCAGCACCCCACAAGAAGCGUUAGAAUUCUUGAGUUUCAAACCUGGAAGGGCCUUCGAGGCCCAAAUGGCCAGCUCCUUCCCCUGAAAAAGGAGGAAAUGGGAAAGAAAAGGAGAAACCAAAAGACCAGGUCUCCAAGUUUUAGAAGUCACAGAAAGGCAGUCAACAGCUCCACCCUGGCUGAACCCAGGAAGCCCUGGUCCAUUAUUUCUCUCUGUCCAUUUGGUAAACGUCUGGUUUCCAUGGGGGCAGUUCUGUCCAGCUGCGUUCUGGAAACAGGUGGCUUGCAGAGACGUAAUCAGGGUCUCCCAAUCUGACAUAUGCUCCCCCCACAAUGCACCCCCCCCUCAUUCCAAUUGGGCCCCCAUCACACGUUCCCAGGCACACCCACGCUGAGCAGCGCGCACACAGGCUGCGGGGCUCGU